UAGCGCGGUGGUCCCACCUGACCCCAUGCCGAACUCAGAAGUGAAACGCCGUAGCGCCGAUGGUAGUGUGGGGUCUCCCCAUGCGAGAGUAGGGAA
rnacentral:rRNA from 2 species